rnacentral:rRNA from 1 species
AUACGAAGGGGGCUAGCGUUGUUCGGAAUCACUGGGCGUAAAGCGCACGUAGGUGGACUAAUUAGUUGAGGGUGAAAUCCCGGGGCUUAACCUCGGAACUGCCUUCAAUACUGUUAGUCUUGAGUCCGAGAGAGGUGAGUGGAAUUCCUAGUGUAGAGGUGAAAUUCGUAGAUAUUAGGAAGAAAACCAGUGGCGAAGGCGGCUCACUGGCUCGGUACUGACGCUGAGGUGCGAAAGCGUGGGGAGCAAACAGGAUUAGAAACCCGAGUAGUCC